CUCUUUCUCUCACUCCCCAAAAGCCUUAAACCGCCACCGGCGAACCAACGGUGAUUCGGUGGAAUCCCCCUUCCUUUGCCUCACCACUUUGACAAUCACCAAGAAACCAUCAGUGCCACCCCUUGUCUCCCUUUCUAGCAAAACACCACCAAUUUUUCCUCUUUUCGUUGUUCCUUUUUUGCGCUGCCUUGCCGAAGGUCGUGGCCGGCGAGAUUCAACCGUACCACCGCUACGCGCCACCCAACACCGCUAAAAUAGCUGCACCACCACAAACCACCACCUUCUCUUCCUUAUCACUAUUUCGGCCAACCAAGAACAAACCCAUGUCAGAUUCCGGCUAAACUCAAUCGGAAAUGAUGAGCCAUUGUCGGUUUAUUUAUCAGUUUUUCAGAUCUGGGCGACAAUACUAUGACAAUACAAAAUAUGACAUCGCAAUUUGAAGUUAUUCUAUUUCUUUGUUAAAUUGUUGGUACGUCUCUUUUAUUGAAUUGCCCGUGUCAUUUUGUUCUAUAAUCUAAAUUGAUAUUUUUGAAUUUUGUGGUGAUUGAUAAUAUUUUUCAGUAAGUGCCUCUGUUUCGUAUGGUUUCGGCUUAGUUUUGAAUUGUUGACUCUAUUUACUAAUUGUUUCUUUAUUUGUAUUGACAUUUAUUAACAAUUUACUUUAAUAGCUUUAUGUUAUUUGUGGCUUUAGUUUAUUUAAUUAUUAUAUUGUAAGAUUUUUUCUUUUGUUAAAUUUUGUUUGCAGUUUUGAUUAUCCUAUUUGAGUUGUAUUGUGUCAAUUAUUGUUUUGAUUAAUUUAUCCUUUCAAGAUAUGUUGUUAUCGUUGGUAUUAAUUUGAUAUGACCAAUGACAUUAUCUUUCCGUUAGAUUUUUGAGGCCAUUCCAUUAUAAAAGACGGAUGUUAUUUUCUCAAAUUUAUUAUUUUAUAUCAAGGAUCGACACUUGGACGAUGAAGAAAUUUUUCAUCGAUUUUUGAGGCCUUUGCAAACAAAGAGACGGAUAUUACGUAUAUAAAUAUGUAAUAAAAUAAAUUAAUUCGGGCAAUGAUGAAAUUUUUAUAAUUUUCUUUAAAAAUUUAUCUGAGCCCGCUUUUUAACAAAAAUUAUACUUUUAAAUACAUAUAUGCACACAUACCUUUAUAAUUUAUUUUGUAAUUAGUUAUUUGUUACUAACUUUGUUAUUAGAAAUGUUUAUACAGAUUAUUGGGAAUACUCGUUGGGAAUGGCAUGCAAAGAAGACCUUAAAUUUUGUGUUUGUAUUUUUAUAUUUUUAUACUUGUACAAAUACUAUCAUAGUGAAAUUUUAUUUUUUGGGGCGUUGGACGGGCAUAUUCUUUAUUUAUACAAACUUCACCACGUGUAUAUGCAAACAUAGGCCGUUAACUUUUAUACAAAAAAGAAUUAAAUUAAUUUAGAUAUUUAAUCAAAC
rnacentral:lncRNA from 1 species